CUGAAUCACCCUCUCCGCCUCUCCAAAGCUGCCUUAUCUGAGACACAUCAUUCUUGUUCGUCAUGGGAAGUUGCGAACAAUUUAAGGGGACUGGCCAUGCUAAUGAUCAAACCAUGGAUGAGGCUAGGACUAUUAAUCCCAGAGCUCAAUGGAAUCAAAUGGGGUACGAAGGGAAGACUGCGGCGGUUCAUGAAGAAAUGAAAAGGAUGAACAGUCUUCCUGCGACCAGUUCUUAUGUUACACAUCGCAGGCGUGUUCUUAAUAAAAUUCUUCAACUGUUGUCCAUUCAGAGAACUGCUUCACAAGAAGAGGAGUUGGAGUUACUCUUUGCUGGGUUGUCUCUAUGAAUGGUUUGUCAUCUCAAAUGGUUGAUUAACAUCAUGUCAAAGCGUUAAACAAGGAUCUGUUGGGUGAAAACCUCUAUCUGAAUGUCUUGCACUAUGUAAAAAGUAUCUCAUAGUCUAAUGUCUAAUGCAUUGCAGAUAUGUCUUGUAAACUAUCUGAUCACAUGCUUUUCAGUAUGUUUAGUAGGAGAAAGGCUGCAUUAUCCUUUUUUGACAAUAAUGCAUAUGGUACGAACUAAAGAAUGGGAUAUCUCAAUUACU